rnacentral:rRNA from 1 species
UCGCCUGUUUAUCAAAAACAUGUCUUUUUGAUAAUUAUAUAAGGUUUAAUCUGCCCGCUGAUUAGUUGAAGGGCCGCAGUAUUUUGACUGUGCAAAGGUAGCAUAAUAAUUAGUUUAUUAAUUGUAAGCUGGAAUGAAUGAUUGGACGAGGAAUAUUUUGUCUCUUAAUUAUUUUAUUUGAAUUUUACUUUUAAGUUAAAAGGCUUAAAUUUUAGUGAAAGACGAGAAGACCCUAUAGAGUUUUAUUUUUGUUUUUUUUAAUUUGUUAAUUAGUAUUAUUGGUUUUUAAUUAAAGCUUAAUUUGGUUGGGGUGACUAGAAAAUUAAAUAAACUUUUCUUUAUUUUUUCAUUGAUUUAUGAUUUUUUGAUCCAUUUAUUGAUUUAAAGAUUAAAUUACCUUAGG